rnacentral:lncRNA from 1 species
AGUUUACCUCAGAUUCACCCAAGUAUAGGCCAAAAUCGCGGGCUUCUGGAAGAGAAAAGAGUUGUUCAUUACUAUUUCUCUUUUGUUAGCUGGUAUUGGCAAGCCAAGGAAAGACCAAAACUGUCAAGGUAGGCCGAGAAAAGUAAACAUCUUUUAGCAAGGCUUUUAUUUUCAAGAAUAUUGUCGCAUGUUUCUUUUGCUUUUCUUUUGUUGUGUAACAAACCACCCCAAAACUUACUGGCACAACAACCACCAUUUUAUUUGGUCAUAAUUCUGCAAUCUGAGCAGGGCUCAACUAGGCAGUUCUUACAGUCAUCUUGCUGGUGGUCAUUCAUACUACUGCUUUCAGCCAGCAGGUGAGAAAUGAGAUCAGCUAGGAUACUAGCAUGGCUAAGCAUCUCUCUCCAUGUAAUCUCAGAAAUUCUCCCUCUCCAUGUGGCCUCUUUUCCACUGGGUCUCUCUAGGAGAACGGUCAGAUUCUUACAUGAUGAUCCUCUCUCUCGAAAACACAAAAGCAUAAGUUGUCGGGCCUUUUUGCACCCAGACCUGGAAGAGCUUUAAUCCCUUUGCAUUCUCUUUGUUAAAACAAGCUACAGGCCCAACCCAAACUGAAAGGAAAGUGACUUCACACGAGCAUGAAUGCCAUCAAUGUAAUAGACAACUAAAACAUUCAGGCCAAUGUUCAGAUGACUGGAAUGGACACAACCACAAGAAACUAUAAAAUGGCUAAAGCUUGAAGACUGAGCAAUUAUAGUCAGAUUCUAUUCUCUGUUCUUUCCCACAAUGAGAGUCAAUCUACGUUCACCAGGAAUCUUAAUUAUAAGUGGAACCUGUUAAUCACUUAAAAGCCAUAUGACCUUAGACAAGUCAAUUAAUCUCUCUAAGCUUCAGCUGCUGUAUUGUAAAACAGGAAAAAUUAUACAUGCCCUGCCUGUCUUAGAGGAACGCUGUAGAAUAAAUAAGAGCUUUGAAAGCUGUAAACUGCUAUACAAAUAUAAGGAAAUAUUAUUUAGCUGACAGGAUGGUAAGUAUAAUCAACCUAGCUAGGCUCCAUUCUCCUCCCUAUUAAUAAAAUUAUAACCAUCAUCAAUUACCCUAUAUGCUAAAUGACUACCACAGCAAUAUUAUAUAUAAUAGCAAGCUAAAAUUACAUUAUGUUUUGUUACUAUGAAGAAUAAUAACACUAACUACAAUUUAUUAUUGUCCAAUUAUAUGUCAGGUGCUGUUGGUUACUUUGGAUAAUCUAUAACCCUUACAAUAACUCAAUACGGUAGGUAUUAUCCCUCAUUUACAAAUAAAGAAACUGACACUUGGCUACUUUAAGUAACCUGCCCAUAGUUACACAGCCAGCAAAUGAAAAAUCC